ensembl:misc_RNA Metazoa_SRP Metazoan signal recognition particle RNA
GCUGGGCGUGGUGGCGGGCGCCUGUAGUCCCAGCUACUCAGGAGGCUGAGGCAGAAGAAUUGCUUGAACCCGGGAGGCAGAGGUUGCAGUGAGCUGAGAUCAUGCCAUUGCACUCCAGCCUGGGUGACAGAGCGAGACUCUGUCUCAA